AUUUAUAUUUAUUAUUUAAUUUUAUUUUUAAGUUAAAAAGCUUAAAUUUAAUUAGAGGACGAGAAGACCCUAUAGAGUUUUAUAUUUAUUUUAAUAUUUAAUAUUAAAUUUAAUAAUUAUUAAAAUUAAAUAUUUUAUUGGGGUGAUAGAAAAAUUUAAUUAACUUUUUUAUAAAUUAUUAACAUAAAUUAAUGAAUUUUUGAUCCUAAUUUUUAGAUUAAUAGAUUAAAUUACCUUAGGGAUAACAGCGUUAUUUUUUUAUUAA
rnacentral:rRNA from 1 species